rnacentral:rRNA from 1 species
UACAGAGGGGGCAAGCGUUGUUCGGAAUUACUGGGCGUAAAGGGCGCGUAGGCGGCCCGCUAAGUCGAACGUGAAAUCCCCGAGCUCAACUCGGGAACUGCGUCCGAUACUGGCGGGCUUGAAUCCGGGAGAGGGAUGCAGAAUUCCAGGUGUAGCGGUGAAAUGCGUAGAUAUCUGGAGGAAUACCGGUGGCGAAGGCGGCAUCCUGGACCGGCAUUGACGCUGAUGAGCGAAAGCUAGGGGAGCAAACGGG